GGCUUUGUAGUGUAAACAACAUUUAGGAUUGCAAAUCCUAAGAUGCAGUUAGUCACUGCCAAAGCUU
rnacentral:tRNA from 1 species